rnacentral:lncRNA from 1 species
GCAAAGUCUAAGUCUGAGGUCUCUCUUGUCUCAAGCUGUUCUAAGAGAAAAACAAAGCAGUUGCCUAGGACAUAAAAGCUGAAGCUAGAUUCAUGUCUGAUUUAGUAGAGCGAAAAGAUCUUGUAAUACGAUAAACACUGCAGCUCGAACAGACAAACGGGUAGAAAAGGCCUGAAAAUUAUUUGAGCAAGAAAACGGAUCCCGAAAGCUUAUACGUAUUAUCUGUUAUUUCAACGUUGGACUUAAAAGAUGGAUAUAAGAACCCGACGGUUUUAUUUUCUGAUGCUAAUAAUAUCACANUUAAUCGAGCAAGGAAGAAGUCUAUGGUGUUACGAAUGCGUUUCAAACCAAUCCUGGACACACUGUGAAAAAAAUACUUUCAAGCGAUGGUGCCGAGGCUCCGAAACGUCUUGUUUGUCGGCAGAGAUCCAAUGGUACAGAAAUGGAAUCUUUAAGAAAACUUAUACAAAGAUAUGCGCACCCUCUGAAAUGUGCUCUGGGUCUGACUGUUUGCAGAUGAAAGCGAAUUGUCGGAUAAUGUGCUGUAAUACUGAUGGUUGUAACAUUGAUUUUUGUAACAAUAACAUAGUCAUCUCCGCAUCUGCUUAUUACACAGGUAUUUGUGUGACCAUUGGAACUGUNAUAAUGUCAUUUGUCUUUCUUGGUGGCUAAAUGCACACGCUGAAUGAAUCUUUUUANCAUCCUACAAUGACAGGCAUGCUAUGCCCGUCANNUGCUNUCAACCAGAGAGUAUUCUUUGCUUGGUAUCAAUCAUUUGAAUGAAUCUCAUGAAUCUCAUUACCAGCCUACAAUGGCAGGCAAACACUGCCCGUCAUGUGCUAUCAACCAGAGAGUAUUCUAUUGCUUGGNAUCAAUCAGUUGAAUGAAUCUCAUGAAUCUCAUUGCCAGCCUACAUAUGGGAGGCAAACAAUGCCCGUCAUUCACAAUCAAUUAGAGGAUACUCUAAUGCUUGGUAUCAAACAAGUUGAAUGAAUCUCAUAAAUCUAAUCACCAAUCUACGAAAAAAAAAAAAAAA